UACGUAGGGUGCGAGCGUUAAUCGGAAUUACUGGGCGUAAAGCGUGCGCAGGCGGUUAUUUAAGUCAGGUGUGAAAGCCCUGGGCUUAACCUAGGAAUUGCGCUUGAGACUGGAUAGCUUGGAGUGCGGCAGAGGGAGGUGGAAUUCCACGUGUAGCAGUGAAAUGCGUAGAUAUCGGGAGGAACACCGUUGGCGAAGGCGACUUUCUGGGCUGCUACUGACGCUGAUGCGCGAAAGCCAGGGGAGCGAACAGG
rnacentral:rRNA from 1 species